ACCACAGAGGACACGUGGGCAGGACCAAGAGGAGGGAGCGGCCAGUGCGGGGAAACGGUGGGGAGAGAGGAGCACAAGGGGAGCAGGCGAGGAAGGCCAGACGGGCAGAGCAGGAGGCAGCCCACAGGGGCAGGCGCCAGCCUUCAUGCAGCACCUACUGUGCCCGCUGGGCAUGGUGCCAUCUUUACUUACACGAGAUACUAAUGUCAUCUCACCCACCCAGGCCGGACUGCAGAAGCCUCUCUAAAGGCUUCUGGAUCCUAAGGGGCAAAGCAGGGAGGGGCUGGAGCAGGCUAGGGAGGACCCAGGAAGGAGGGGGGGGGAGGAGGUUGGGGAGUGGGAUGGGAGGAGACGGGCCGGGGAGGGGGACCCCGAGGAGGGGGAGAAGCCCAAGGCCAGGUGGGGACACAAAGGGAGCAGAUGUGAAGCCAAUGAGUGGGGGAGGGGAGGGAGAAGGGGGAGGGGCAGCACACAGAGGGAGGGAGGGAGGGUCAAGAAUGGGCAUAGGGGUCAUGAAUGGAGAGAGCAAGAAUGGGAGGGAACAAGAGUAGGAGAAGGGGGCCAAGAAUGGGGGGGUGGAGGGGGACGACAGAGGGAGACGGGAACGAGGACGAGAGCGGGGGACCAAGAGUAGGAGAGGGGCGACAAGAGUAAGGGGACCUCGAGUAGGGAGGAGGGAAAAUGAAGGAGGGGACCAGGAGUGGGGGAGGGGGUCAAGGGUCGGAGACUCACUAGUGGGCGAUGGGAAGGGACGUAGGGUCCCCCAGCAUCCCCUAACAAUCCCCAGCACCCACCUCCCGGCCGGGUCCCUGCAGCGUCGGGCUGGGGCGAUGGCGGGGGCGGGGGCGCUCCACGAGAUGCAGACCCCGGCCCGGCCCGAACCCGCUUGACUCUGCCCGGCCUGGACCGGCCCGGCCCGGCUCUGCUCCCCGCUCCGGGUUUUCCCGGGCUCCGGGGCGAGGGGAGAGGCAACCACUCCGGUACCCAGAAGUCACAGGGUCCUUCCCUCCUGAUCAAGGUGAUUGGCUGCUAGCUGACAAAGUCCCGCCUACAGCCGGCCUCCAUUGGUAGCCGCGGAAGGGACGGUUAAGCCCAGGCCACAGCUCGGCCUCCUCAGUACAAAACCGGUGUUUGCCCCGCCCUCAGAGGGGCGGGACCUAGGAGUGAGAAGAAACGCAGGUGCUGGAGGCGGGGCCUAAGGCAUUGGGCGGGCACUUGGAGUGAGGAGAAAGGCUGGCACUGAGGGGCGGGCCUUUGUGCCAAUAGACCAGAGUGGGGAAUGAGGCGAAAGGCAGGUGUCAGGGGCGGGUCUUCAUGGUAAUAAACAAGACCAGGAAGUGAGGAUAAGGCCGAUUGAGGGGUGGGGCCUAAGGGAACGGUGUGGGGGGAACAGGCAGGUGCCAGAGGCGGGCCUUUGUGGUGAUGGGCAGAACGGGGGCGGGACAAAGGUAGGUGCUGAGGGGAGGGCCUAGCCGUGAGAGGUCGGCACGCUGGGCUGAUGGUGACCGAUAAGGAGCCGGACUUGGAGAGUCAGGGGGUAAGGGGGCGUGGCGGAAGCCCCCAGUCAGAGCGCCAGCCAGGGCUUUUGUCCCCGGCGCUUGGGGUAGGCUGGGCGCAGAGCCGGGAGCGCCUGGCUCCGGGAGAACGCACUCGCGCUGCCCUGGAGGAGGGUGGUCCCUGGGGAAGGGACAGAUUUGGGCCUGAGAUCAGACCCUUCCCCCUUUUCGGAGGUGGGGGGGAGACGUCUAAUGGCUGACCGUUUGAUGGAGAUGUUGUGCUGGGAGGGUCUCCUUGCAGAAAGGGGAGCGGUGGCAUCUGAAUAAGGGGGCGCUGGGACGCCUGAGGGCGACCGGAGGACGAGAGGCCCCCCCCCCCAGGGGCUCUUGAUUGACUGAGAUCAGUGAUCUCAAUAAGAGCCUCAUUUUUUUCCCCAACAAAUACUACUCAGAGCCUUAAGUGCUCGUGCGGAUCUCUUAUCUCCCAUUCUUGCUAACUCUUCUAAUUCUGCUUGCCCCACUUAUGAUCCCUCCCUCAUCUUCUCCCCCACCCUUUUUACCCCUUUCUCUGUAACCUUUCCCUUUCCCACUAAUGGAUGCACCUUGCCCCACUGCCCCAAAUCCACACCCCUCCUACGCCCCCCCUUCUGUCCCCUCCCCUGUUGGAGUUCAAAUGUUGGAGUUCUUGUUCUUCUCCAAACGCAGCCGGUUUAGCUUAGAGCCCUCCGAAUGUCUCCAAACCCAAGGGUUUUGUCCUUCAGCCUCUGCCUCUGCUUUCUUCAGCCUCCGGCCAGCACAGAGAUGGAAUGAAUCUCUUGUCUCCUCCACUUGGGGCUCGGCCAGCUUUCUGGUGAGUCUUUCAGACCAGCUUGGUCCCAGCGGGGGAAGUGCAGGAGCCCAGCCACCACAGCGCUGUGAGAUGAAGGUGAAUCUGGUUGUCCGCUGAACUCUCACUCGUAGCUUCUUCCUCUGAAACUCCUCUUCCACCACCAGCAGCCAAGGGGAAAAUAUUCUGGAAUGAAGUGUUCUUCACUGGCCUUAUAUAAGACUCUUCUGAGAGAGAGGGAUUAUGGGUUUUCUCCCAUAGUGCUCUCUGGCCCUAAGAGCUUCAAGGGAGGUGUGAACUCACCAAGUUACCAAGUUUACUUUGUGAAUCUGGCAGACGUGUGAACUCCGCUGAGUAAAGAUUCUGCAGGAUGCUGUACCCUUCGGGCUACUGGGAUGAUCCGGAGCCCUUCCAAGAAAGCUGCAGCCUCCUCGAGCCCCUCAGCAGGAGUGAUGGCGCCUAGAUUCUUUCCCCCAGGCCAGUGGAUCCCAGGUCCCGGAUGUCCUGCCUCUCUUUCCUCAGUGGGGCGCCGGAAGCCUUGCAGAAAGUCCGGGUUUACUCCUUCCUAGCACACUCCCAGACGAGCUCUCCCCAUCUUCUCCUUGCCCCAGGCAGAUAAUCUGACAGCUCUCCAUCGGUUGGAGCUGAGGGGAGCCAGUCCCGAGAUGGCUCGUUAGCCCGUGUUCCUUCAAGUCGCAGUGGAUAGAGCGCUGGGCCUGGAGUCUGGACUCAACCUCCCGAGUUCCAAGCUGGCCUUAAACACUCCUUGGAUGGGUGACCCUGGUCUCAAAGACUUCACCCUUUCUGCCUUAGUUUCCUCAUUUGUUAAAAUGAGGUAGGGCAGGAAAUGGCAAAGCAUCCCAGGAUCUUUGUCAAGAAAAUCCCCAAGAGUCGGGCAUGAUUGAACCGCCACAGUGCCCUUCGAGAGGCUCCAAGACCAAGGCCCGAACCUUGCACCCGCCCCAAAAGCCCACGGUGUGACACCCCUGAACCGGCCUGAGGUCAGUUCCCGCCGAUAGGACACCCAGGGGCUGGCCAGGGCUUGGGGAAGUUGGCUCCGGAGAUCUCUGGCUCCCCUGCCUGCUGCUGUGGAGGGAGGUGGACCCCCAGGCUCUCCACAUGGCAACCCCAGGGGCUGCUCUCCAGGGCUGAAGCUGGAGAUUCCACCCAGGACCAGCAUGGAGCUUGGUGCUACGGGCCACCAUCUCCUACAGACUGUCAGUGGCUGCUUUCUCAGGGAAAACGUUUCCCCAUGGGGAGCCCAGAACCUCCUUAAUGGCUGCUGGGGACCCGCUGGGGCAAGUGUCCCUCCCCAGAAAGGCUCGCAGACAGCCCUCCAGUUUGGGCACUCAGGGGCAGGCAUGUCCCCACUGCUCCCUGUCUCCUCUAGGAUCAGAACCAGGCUUCCUUGGCAUGUAAUGCCCUUCCCAAACUGGGUUCCACCCUGGCUGUUGUGCGUAUUCCCUUUCACACACGCUAUCUGUCCCCUCUACCUUCUGUGCCUUUACCUGAGCUGCUUCUCUACCCACUGAGCUCUACGACCCCCUUUUUCUUAUCUCUGCCUCUCAAUCCCUAAAAAGAAUAAAUCAAGGCCUAGCUUGUAACAUUUA